AAACAAAAAUAAAUUUCUGUUCAUGUGCCUAGUGAGAUUUAUUCAUCAUUAUUAGAAAUCAAUUAUACCAUAAUUUUUUGGUCAUUACUAGGUCUCAGCUUUGUUACUUUUUUUUAUUAGAUUUUUUUUUCCUUAUGUCUUGGAAUCAUGAUAAAUCUUAAAGAAAUCUAUCUAUCUAUCUAUCUAUCUAUCUAUCUAUCUAUCUAUCUCUAUAUAUGUGUGUAUAUAUAUCUAUACCUAUAGAAAGAGAAAGAGAGAGUACAACGCCUUAGCAUAGAACACCACCUAUAUACAAAGUAACCAUUUUUGGCUUUGAACUAUUCAAAAUCCUCCUACGGACAGCAAAAGGGGGAUUCUUACUUUAACACAUACAAAGCUCUGCCUUCCAGAUUCUUUAUUGCUGGCCUCUGUUUACACAAACUUUGUAUGUAUGUGGUGAAAGAGAGAGCCCUGGUUUGUGUGCGUGUGCUGACAUACACUGUGGAUGUUAGAGAAGUUAAAGCAGCAGCUUGCAAUCUUGUCAUUGUCACUUUUCUGUGAGGAAAUAAAGAAGGCUUACAGAUUCCCUAAUUUUUCAGUUUUGCAACAGAGAGAAUAAGUGCUUUUUUUGCUUCUCUUCAAGUCUAUAAAUAUUAAAACUCAGCCAUAUUCACAUUUGGGGGGAGAGAGAUUAGAUAAGUGAAAUAGCAGUGCUUUCCUUGGGCUUUAUUUGUCUGCUUGCUAUUGGUUUUGUGUUGGUGUUCUGUUGACUAUUAUAACUUCACUUAGGCAUCAAAGCACAGUUCCACAGAAAACCUAGUAAACCUAGUUUACUUCAUGUGGGAAAUGAUGGAAACUGGUAAAAUUAUCAAUUUUCUUCUUUCUCGCACUUUGAAAUUGUUUCUUACUUGAUAAGGUUUGAAAUGCUAACUGUUAUUAACUGCCUCUUCUUCUAUCAAAGUUUUAUAAAUUUCCAUGGUUUUAUAAAUUCCUGCUGUUGGUUACAGUGUAAUGAUUCCGGGACCCGAUUUAUUUAUGAUAGAGACUAUCGAACUGCUCUGCCAACAGCACAGCUAAAGGGGGGAGCAAUAGAUUCACAUUUCUAAACCAUCAUUUUGAUGUAAGGACAUUAGUAGCAAACUAAGGUGCAUUGAUCUGGCCUGUGGGGUCAGGAUUAGCUGGAAUAGCCAGUGUCUCUGCUGGAGUAGUGGUUAUUCCUGCCUCUCAGCUAUGGCCAUUUCAAAGGUCAGGUGCCCUGUACCCACUUGGCUCAGAGGAAUUAGACAGAACAUGAGUCUCUGGGCUGAUUACUUAACCAAAGACAAAAUAAUGAGUCCUAAGCAAAUACUGACUAAUUGAAAGGGCUGUAAAUCCAUUACAUAUUGGUCAGGGAUAAUCAGGAGUAUUUAAUCACUUUUAUCUAUUCAGGAGCACUGAAGCUGCAACAGCAAAGCCCUGAACCUUGCCAUGUGCUUAUUAUUCUCAUCAUUAUCAAAAUUACUUCACAGCUGUUCUUUGCUACAUCACCUCAGCUGGAGAUUUACUAACUUGUAAAAUGUUUUUAAUUUGGAAGUCGAGUAAGUGCGAGUGGAGGGUUUUUCAUGUAGCUGUAGGGUAUCUUUAGAUGAGUAGUACAGGCAGACAGCAAAAAGCAGGACCACAAAUAAACAAGUCUGGUUUGUAGACACCUCCAUGUUAACUCCAUUUCCUCCUAUGAAAUUUGUGAUAUCUAUUUUUUUUCCUUUCUGCCUUUCUUUCUCAUGUGCUCCUUGAAAGCAUUUGACACUUGCUUAUUAAACAGUCAACUGCCUCUUGCUUCUCUUGAGGAAAGUCCUUCUGGCUUUUUGAAAUCCCUUUUCCUUGUUUCCAUACUCUCCCUCCUGACCCUCUCCAUCCUGCAUGAAUUAAGGAAAUUUGCCGUCACUUGUGAGGAUGACCUCACAAAAAUCAGAUUAAAUGAACACAAAAAAGCCCCAAACCUUUUACCAUCCAGGCUUUAAUGAGUUUGCAGGUGUUGAAAGAUUUACUGCGCUGUAAUUCUCAGACCUGCAAACUGAUAAUGGAGACCCCUGACCAGUGCAAUGUAAAUUCAGAAAGAUUCUUGCCAUAAACACAUUCAGAGAAGGAAGAAAACUCCUUUAUUUUAAAGAUCUCACACUUUUUCUCAAAUUAGCUUGUCCAUUCAAAAUGUUACUCUGGCUGAGCCAGAACGGGGGAAUCUGUGAUGCACAAUUUUAUUGUUUCAAGUAAAUAUCUUUACAAUGACAGUCCAUGAUUCAAUGUACAUUCCUUCAUUACUACUCUAACCUUAUUUCAAAUUGGUUUGUUCCUCUUUUGUGCUGUAUGACCUGUUCUUGUAUUACAAUAAUCCCCCGAUGUACCCUUUUUUCUUUCUCUCACUCUCUUUUUUUUUUUUUUAAAGAAACUAAUUGAAUUAUCUCAUUAUUUUAAUUUGUUAAGCAAAUGUAUUUUAUGUCUCAGGAUGUGUUCUUAAAGAAGGAGCUGCUUAGGCUUUGCCCCCUGAAUGGGCCAUUGGUACAUUUUGACAUUCAUGCAUUCAUUAAGGAGAGGAACAUAAAAGAGCUCUGGUUGUAUUUUUUUUUUUUUUCAAACACCCAACCAGCAUGGAGCAACUUUUCCAUAAGCCACAGGGGUCUCUCUACAUAUGUUCUCAACUGCAAUCCAUUGUCACCUAUUCUGAAUACCUCAAAAGGACAAAUAAAAAACUAAAGGCCAACUGUAGCAAUUGUUAGCUGUUAGUCUCAAUAUGACAAAAAUCAUUAACCUCUGAUUUCCCUGGGAGGAGAGGCAGUGGCAGUCCAUCUCUUCUGGCAUGGAUUAAAUGUAGAAGUCCUUAGACUGUCAAAUUCCAAGAGAGUAACUGAGAUCUGCCUAAUUGUAUUUACUUAUGAUUUUAAAUAAAAUGCUAUUUUUUUCCUUUAUUCAAUCAGUUUGCAAACUCCUAAAGCAGCCAAUUUUAAAAAUUGAAUGGCCUAAGUGGCUUUUUUGAAGAGACAGGCACUUGAACUCUGAUGUAGAAUGAAUGUGUCUGACAGGCUGUGUCUUUCAAAACAAUUUCUAACCCCUAUCAUGGCUUCCAUUUUGUAGUAACUUUAAUUAUAUUUGAAAGAGGAUACACAUGCAUGUUUUUAUUGUUGGAAAUCAAAUGCAAAGAGUAGGAGCUUCUGUCAUGUUCUCAAUCACUUACUGAGCUCUGUCUUACAUUUGGAAUUACAACACUACCGGAAGAUAAAAGAUCUGAGGAUGAAUUGGUUGGAAAUGUGUAUGCUUUUUCUGGAUAAUAUCCAGUGUUUAAGAAAGUAGAGGAAAUCCUUGUCUGGUAGUAUAAUCUUUUCAAUAGUACAUAAAGAUUACGACAUCAGAAAGGUAAACCUGACAUUAACACUGUUUUUAGUUGAGUUCAAAGGUGGUUAAAGAAAAGAAACAGCAAGAAAUCUGACCCAAGCUGAGAGUUUAUUCAUGGCUUUGGAAGACUCCUUUUCCUCUAUGCUAAGGAAUUCUUAGUACACUCAAUUAGCCUCUCAGACAUCACUGCUUUCCUCCCUCAAGUGCUCCCCUAUUUGCCCUGCAAAGAACACAUUUGAUCACUAAGUGAAAACAGGAAGUGCUCAAAUGUAUAGAUACCUCCAGUUUACACCAGUGCUGAAAUUAGGAUUCCUUACCAGCAACCAUAGAGCCGGUCCCCCUCCUCCCAUGCCCUUUUGAAGGAUGGAGGACCUUUAAAAUAUAUAUACAUAAUCAGAAGAGAGGAAAGUUAUAAAGGAAGUAAUUAUACCACUCUUUGGUCUUGUACCUCUGCUAGUUCAUUCAUUUCUGCAGCAGUGUGGCAAAGACUACAUUUUUGCUACAUUCAACAUUUUUUCACCUUCUUUUACCGAGCUGGUAAAACAGUGUCUCAUUUAUGCUUUGACACUUACCUGGAGUGAUGCCCUUUGUUAAAAUUAUAUUUUGGUUGUUUUUUUUAUUUCAGUGUUUAAGAAGACAUGUAUCAUAUCUAAUAGUACCAGAUUUACCAAUGGUAGCUUGCAAACUAAAGCUUUCUUACUGAAAGAGCCUAGUUCCCAUCUGACAGUAUUUGGGAUGUGUCCCCUAAAACCAGAGGAGUUGAGCUGGUUUUUCUGCCUUUUUUUUUUUUUUUUUUUUUUUUGGUAGCUGAAAUUCUGUCUUCUAACUUUGAACAAUGUCAUUUUACCCUGAUUUCCACAAUUUUCUGGCUGAAGAUCUGGCUCUUUACACAGUCUAUUGUAGAGCAUAUCUUGGUGUUAUCUGUUUCAUCGUCAGGCUAGAGUAAGCUCUCCUGGAAGGUGGUUAAAUGAACCAGCCACAGCUUUUGUACUUACCUAAUUACUUACCUGAAUUAAUUUUCUUAACUUGUCAUAUUAGAUGUCCAGAUUGGAUAAUAUAAAUAGUCUCACUGAAACAGAUUUUUUUUUCUGUAUUUAUGUGGGUGUAUCUGAGAAUAAAAUGUGUAUCUAUCAUAUUUUGAUGAAUGGCUUAUCAAGGCUUUUAUACAGGGCACCUAUUUUAUUUAUUCAUUAGAUUUUAUUCUAGAGAUUAAUGUCAUCAGCCAAAGCCAAUCUUGGAGCAAGUGUUCAAGGAAGUUGAAUCCAACCCACCUUCAUAAAUAUCUCCUUCCAUAUUUUAUUUUAGUAAUACUACCUUAAAGAAAGGUUAUAAAUAUAGCUGGCUACUGCACUCCACACUGAACAGCUUACUUUCACAUCAAACUGUAGAAGAACAGCUUUACUCAGAGAUGUGAUCUGAGAGAAGCAUUCUUCACAUUGUUGGUUUUGCUCUACUUUAGAAAACCAAAACCAAACAUGAAAAUACAACAGACCUCUGUCCAAUUAAAAUGGCAAUAAGAAGGCUGGGAGACUCCAGAUAAUACAGGAAUGUGCAGUCAUUCUAGUGAAUUUUAAUGUGUGUGUUGGACUGCAUUGUGACAUGCUAUACCCUCUGAGAGUACCCAUAGGAGGUGGACAGUGUCCUCUGAUUCUCCUGUAAAACUACCUGCACAUGUGUUUGUGUGGCUGCCGUUUCCACCUCAGGGCACCAUGGAGUCAGAGAGCUGGAGACUAAGCUACAGUCUUAUUCCAGGUCUGCUUUUAGGCUGUGUGCUGUUUUCAGCAAGCCUGCCUGGUUUUGCCUCCUCCUCAUCAACAGGCAACACAAUGUGUCAGGACUGCAGCAAGGUGAAUUUCAUUCAUGUGACAUAUGAGGUCAGCCUAUGCCAAAUCAUAAGAUAAUGUGGCUAGAUGUUACUUCCCAGUUUAAUAUUCUACCUGCCAUUUUCAAACAGGGGAUUCCUGAGAACAGCAAAAAACAUGUGCACAGUUUUAACUGAGGUUUGAUUAAAAAGCCUCAACUGAGCAAGCUGAAUGUGGCCUAGGGAAAGAUAGGAUCAGCCACUGUUUUCCUCUGGUUGUUAUUGUCAGAUUACAAAGCUUUGCAGAGUCAGUAUAGGAAGAGAAAAGAAAA